rfam:Jaapia argillacea MTCL 33604 unplaced genomic scaffold JAAARscaffold_7, whole genome shotgun sequence.
GGCAGUGUGUCCGAGCGGUCCAAGGAGUUGGAUUUAAGUAUUCAUUGCUUCCCAAUAGGCGUGAGCCUGCGCGAGUUCGAACCUCGCCACUGUCA